UCUCUGCCUCUCACCAGGGCGCAAAGUUGGCCAUGGCAUGGAUUUUCGGUUUCUCCAUCUGUAAACUGGGGAUGCCAAUGCCGAUCUCCCACUCCCAAAUAAGGCUCCACAACCAGCGUGAAGACCAACACAGGGCUUGAACUCUGAUGUCAAGACCUGAGCGGAUGAGAUCAAGAGGCAGACACCUAACCCACUGAGCCACCCAGAUGCCCCGGGAUCUCUCAUGACCUCGGCUUUCCAUGCAUUGGAGUGGGAAGGGGAUAUUUUGGUGCAGAAGUUACAUCCACAUUUGGAUGGGGGCAGCAGCAGAAACUAAGGGCUAGACUGACAUACCUCUGCCAGAGAUGAGCAGGAGAAUCAGCAGCAGGGCCAUGGGACUCUUCAUAAGGACAUGGGAGUGCUGUUCACACCAUACACUUCUAAUCUCCAGGGAGGGGGUGAUGCCCUUGACCCAGGGCUGUGACCUGGGUCCCCGCCAGACCACAAGCCCCCAUGGGCAAGUGGGGAGCUGGCCUGUUCCUUCAGCCUCCCAGUACCAUAGGAAGAGUUGGCUGGUGGACAAUUCCGGACUCUGAGGACUUCCUGGAGGCUCUGAGACCCCUCCAGAGGUUCCCAAAUCAGGCUCUAAUUGACAUUUAGUUUUGGGUCUGCAUGUGGCCCGCAUUUAUGGGCCAUUGGUACCUUGUUGCACCAGGCUAAGCUGAAAUUUCGUAAAGUACUGCAUAUAAUUUUGAAUAUUUUUUUUAAAUCAGAUAAUCAUGCAAAAUCAUAAACACUAGUUAACAUUUUUGCCAUUUCCUCCUUGGACUUUUUUUUUUUUUUUUUUGAAAUACAAAAAGUAGCAGAUGACACGAUGUGGUAUAUUCAUUGCCCAAUGACAGGCACAGCAUGAAUUCCAGGUGUCUUGAGUGUCCUUCUGCACAUCUUCUUGGGCACGUGUGGAAGCAGUAGCCCCUUCAGCUUUGCUCUUCAUUGCCAGAUUCUCAUUCCACCAUCAUGCGGGUUCCCCAAAAGUCCCGUCUUAUCUCUGCUUUGCAAGGCCUCCCGGGCCCAAAAAGCAGAAAAACUCUGCUCCACUCAAGACAGGAGAGAACCAUCUAAGUGACUGCCUGAAUUUCCUUGGAAAAUUUCCCUGGGAACACCAUGAAGCAAUUUGUCAUCCAUCAAGUCCCCAUCAAGUUACCUAAAUUUUGAGUUACCCAGAAAGCAGUAUCAAAUCACCUUCAAAGGCAUCGGUUUCAAGGGUACAAUCUGAUGAGUUUUGGCAAAUAUCCACGCUUGUCUAAGCAAACUUAUAUCUUCCAAAAUGCAUCAUUUCCAUGGGUUUUGAUCCUAUUCGUUGAAAACACAAAACUGCAAGUCUUCCUAAUCAGUGAGCGAGAACACUGACCCACAUUAGUGAAGACCGGCGUCUGCUGGCUGGAUUUUAACAGAAAACCUUUGCAUAGUUGGUCGAUAGAGUGGAAAGUGAGCCGGUGACUUAGUAAUGCCUGUUCCCCACUUGGAUCCACAUAUCUGUCUGAAGUGUCUUUAUAGUCAUUAAACCGAGGAUCAAGAACCAGGCUUCUGAACUGUUGCCUCACAAAGUGUUAAUCAAGACUUUCAAAAAUAAUGAAGCACAUUUAAUCACAUUGCCACUCACAAAGAAUAUCAUAAUUAAUAUGUGGA